rnacentral:rRNA from 1 species
GACGAACGCUGGCGGCGUGCUUAACACAUGCAAGUCGAACGGAAAGGCCCUGCUUUUGUGGGGUGCUCGAGUGGCGAACGGGUGAGUAACACGUGAGUAACCUGCCCUUGACUUUGGGAUAACUUCAGGUAACUGGGGCUAAUACCGGAUAGGAGCUCCUGCUCCAUGGUGGGGGUUGGAAAGUUUCGGCGGUCGGGGAUGGACUCGCGGCUUAUCAGCUUGUUGGUGGGGUAGUGGCUUACCAAGGCUUUGACGGGUAGCCGGCCUGAGAGGGUGACCGGCGACAUUGGGACUGAGAGACGGCCCAGAGUGCUACGGGAGGCAGUAGUGGGGAAUAUGGCACAGUGGGCGGAAGCCUGAGGAGGCAACGCCGCGGGCGGGAUGACGGCCUUCGGGUAGUGAACCGCUUUCGCCUGUGACGAAGCGUGAGUGACGGUAAUGGGUAAAGAAGCACCGGCUAACUACGUG